UCGAGUUGUGCCGGGAGUCACGAUACUACCAGCAUUGGACCUGUAGGUCGGCGGAGGCGAGGACGUUGGUUGCAAACGAUCCAGAAGCAAUAGUCGAAGCCUAUACUCCUGCAUACUCGCCUGAAAUCACAAUCGGUUACAAAUCCGUAGGGGACUCAAAUAGAAGUGGUAUUUUUUGUGAUUCUUCUCAUCGAUACCGAUCGAUCCCUUCUAACGAAGCUUUCCAGACAAAAAAUAGGUUUGAAGGAGCGUUAAAAGAAAUUUAUGAGCUGUUACCUGAUAACUUGGUGGUGGUGUUCUAAACUGAAAUUCCGGAUAAAUCAUAGCAGCGUACGGAUGAAUUGGCCUUG